UUGAAAUGAGUGAGAUUGUAAAUCGGCCGUGAAAUGAGUGAGAUUGUAAAUCGGCCGGCGUAAUUCAUUCAAAAGUCCGAGUUAAAAUGCGAUAUAGGGGUCAAACUAUUUGAUUUACAUUUCGAGACAUGAUUUACAUUCACAGAUGAAAUGAUAUUGUUGAAAUGAGUGAGAUUGUAAAUCGGCCGGCGUAAUUCAUUCAAAAGUCCGAGUUAAAAUGCGAUAUAUGGGUCGAACUAUUUGAUUUACAUUUCGAGACAUGAUUUACAUUUACAAAUGGCCGGCGUAAUUCAUUCAAAAGUCCGACGGCCUGUUUAAUCGGAUAUCGUCACCCUCUUAAAGUAAUGGCCUAAGUCACCUUUUUGCCAAAAUGAUUUUCUUGCCUAAAUCAGCUCUUUGUGAUGCUAGCCACCUCUGGUAAAAUCCCCAACAUCCUCAGUUGAACAGAUCAUGUGAUCCUACCCGUUUAGUGUAAUGGCCUAUGUCAAGAGUGUGAAUUAGGCAAUUUUAUGAGCGUUUCAAGAUGGCGGCCACUUCCAAAAAAAAAGAAAUGCACUGUUUUGCCUCACUUAUUCCAGAAUUAAUUCGGCCCAAGUCAGGUUCAAAAUUUAGUAAAUCACAAAGGCAUGUUCAUAAAUUGGCCUAAGUCAUCUUAUCCUCUUAUGUUACACAAUUGACUGACAUCAUUAUUUGUAUAUCAAUAGUAAUCUAUUGUCAUAACCUUUGUGUUUGAAAUGAUUCAUAAAUAUCAUAUACUCUAUAUAUGGUUCAGUUUUUUCUGUUUUCAGAACAACUUGAAAAUAUGACUUAGGCCAUUACUUUAAGAGGGUGACGAUAUGAUUGAUUGACUAGCGAUUAUUUGUUUCGUAUGUAUGAUUUGGAAUAGUUAAUUGUCAUCUACAAACGACU
rnacentral:lncRNA from 1 species